rnacentral:rRNA from 1 species
AGCGAACGCUGGCGGCAGACCUAACACAUGCAAGUCGAACGAACCUUUCGGGGUUAGUGGCGGACGGGUGAGUAACACGUGGGAACGUGCCUUUAGGUUCGGAAUAACUCAGGGAAACUUGUGCUAAUACCGAAUGUGCCCUUCGGGGGAAAGAUUUAUCGCCUUUAGAGCGGCCCGCGUCUGAUUAGCUAGUUGGUUGAGGUAAUGGCUCACCAAGGCGACGAUCAGUAGCUGGUCUGAGAGGAUGAUCAGCCACAUUGGGACUGAGACACGGCCCAAACUCCUACGGGAGGCAGCAGUGGGGAAUCUUGCGCAAUGGGCGAAAGCCUGACGCAGCCAUGCCGCGUGAAUGAUGAAGGUCUUAGGAUUGUAAAAUUCUUUCACCGGGGACGAUAAUGACGGUACCCGGAGAAGAAGCCCCGGCUAACUUCGU